CAUUAUCGAAAUCAUCGAAAGCGUAGGGGGGGGCGACCCUCUGAAGCUUUCUAGCAUCUCGACACCCGUGUGCACCCGCUUGUAGGUCCUUCGGGAUCUAUGUCUCAUCUCUCGAACUCGCAUGUCUACAGAAUGUAUCCGUCGCUUCGGCGACAGCAGACCUCGUACAACUUUCAGCGAUGGAUCUCUUGGCUCUCGCAUCGAUGAAGAACGCAGCGAAUCGCGAUAAGUAAUGUGAAUUGCAGAUUUUCCGUGAAUCAUCGAAUCUUUGAACGCACCUUGCGCUCCUUGGUAUUCCGAGGAGCAUGCCUGUUUGAGUGUCAUCGAAAUCUCGAACCCCAGACCCUUUGACCCGUCGGAGGGGAUCGGUUCGGACCAUGGGAGUCUGCGGGCGGUUCCCCCUCGUCUUUGGGGAACGUCGGCUCUCCUCAAAAGCAUUAGCCCGUGGGUGCGAGCCUUGCACGGCACGGCCUCUUCCGACGUCAUAAUGAUCGUCGUGGGCCGGAAGUGCUCGGAUCUGGCGCAUCCCGUGCUUCCCAACUUCUGCGGAAGAACCACGCUCAUCGAGGCUUGACCUCAAAUCAGGCAGGACUACCCGCUGAACUUAAGCAUAUCAAUAAGCGGAGGAAAAGAAACUAACGAGGAUUCCCCUAGUAACUGCGAGUGAAGCGGGAAAAGCUCAAAUUUCGAAUCUGGCGGUCCGUGGGCCGUCCGAGUUGUAAUCUAGAGAAGCGUCUUCCGCGCUGGACCGUGUACAAGUCUCCUGGAAGGGAGCAUCGUAGAGGGUGACAAUCCCGUCUCCGACACGGACCGCCAGGGCUAUGUGAUGCGCUCUCGACGAGUCGAGUUGUUUGGGAAUGCAGCUCAAAUCGGGUGGUAAACUCCAUCUAAAGCUAAAUACGGGCGAGAGACCGAUAGCGAACAAGUACCGUGAGGGAAAGAUGAAAAGAACUUUGGAAAGAGAGUUAAACAGUACGUGAAAUCGCUGGAAGGGAAACGCUUGACGUCAGUCGCGUCGUCCGGGGAUCAACCUUGCUUUUCGCUGGGCGUAUUUCCCGGUCGACGGGUCAGCAUCGAUUUCGCCCGUCGUAGAAGGGCGGGAGUGAAUGUGGCACUCUCAGGAGUGUGUUAUAGCCUUCCGCACGGAUGCGACGGUCGGGAUCGAGGAACUCGGCACGGCCCCUCGAGGGUUCGGGGCUU
rnacentral:rRNA from 1 species